GACGAACGCUGGCGGCGUGCUUAACACAUGCAAGUCGAACGGAAAGGCCCUGCUUUUGUGGGGUGCCCGAGUGGCGAACGGGUGAGUAACACGUGAGUAACCUGCCCUUGACUUUGGGAUAACUUCAGGAAACUGGGGCUAAUACCGGAUAGGAGCUCCUGCUGCAGGGUGGGGGUUGGAAAGUUUCGGCGGGUGGGGAUGGACGCGCGGCUUAUCAGCUUGUUGGUUGGGGAGUGGCUUACCAAGGGUUUGACGGGUAGCCGGCCUGAGAGGGUGACCGGCGACAAUGGGACUGAGAGAGGCACCAGACUCCAAUGGUAGGCAGCGGUGGGGAACAUUGCACAAUGGGCGGAAGUCUGAUGCAGCAACGCCGCGGGCGGGAUGACGGCCUUUGGGGUGUAAACCGCUGUCGCUUGUGACGAAGCGGGUGUGACGGUAAUGAGUAAAGAAGCACCGGCUAACUACGUG
rnacentral:rRNA from 1 species